rnacentral:rRNA from 1 species
GUGCGCAGGCGGUUGUGCAAGACAGAUGUGAAAUCCCCGGGCUCAACCUGGGAAUUGCAUUUGUGACUGCACGGCUAGAGUGUGUCAGAGGGGGGUAGAAUUCCACGUGUAGCAGUGAAAUGCGUAGAUAUGUGGAGGAAUACCGAUGGCGAAGGCAGCCCCCUGGGAUAACACUGACGCUCAUGCACGAAAGCGUGGGGAGCAAACAGGAUUAGAUACCCUGGUAGUCCACGCCCUAAACGAUGUCUACUAGUUGUCGGGUCUUAAUUGACUUGGUAACGCAGCUAACGCGUGAAGUAGACCGCCUGGGGAGUACGGUCGCAAGAUUAAAACUCAAA